rnacentral:rRNA from 1 species
UACGUAGGGUGCGAGCGUUAAUCGGAAUUACUGGGCGUAAAGCGUGCGCAGGCGGUUAUGCAAGACAGAUGUGAAAUCCCCGGGCUCAACCUGGGAACUGCAUUUGUGACUGCAUGGCUGGAGUGCGGCAGAGGGGGACGGAAUUCCGCGUGUAGCAGUGAAAUGCGUAGAUAUGCGGAGGAACACCGGUGGCGAAGGCAAUCCCCUGGGCCUGCACUGACGCUCAUGCACGAAAGCGUGGGGAGCAAACAGG